CUGCUGCUACAGAAACUUCACCCACAGCUACCAUGACUUUGAUCCCUGUCUUCAUCUGGACACUGAUCCUCUGGACUCAAGAAUGCAGAGGUCAAGUCACAGUAACUCAGACUCCUGCAGUGAAAUCUGUUCUUCCAGGAGAAACAGUCACCAUCAACUGUAAAACUAAUCCGGCAGUGUAUUAUCACAGCUCUUAUGGCCACUAUUUACACUGGUAUCAGCAGAAAGCUGGAGAAGCUCCUAAACUCCUGAUUAAACUUGCCAAUCAGUUAGAGUCGGGUUUUCCAGCUCGUUUCAGUGGCAGUGGAUCUGGAUCUGAUUUCACUCUGACCAUCAGUGGAGUUCAGACUGAAGAUGCAGGAGAUUAUUACUGUCAGAGUUACCAUUAUAUCAGUAGCACACGGCUGUUCACACAGUGAUAUAGAGUCGUACAAAAACCUCCCUCAGUCAGAUAGUAGAGAAACUGCACUGCUGCAGCUGGGAGCGACUGCAGGUGCUGAGUUGGA